rnacentral:rRNA from 1 species
UACAGAGGUCCCGAGCGUUGUUCGGAUUCAUUGGGCGUAAAGGGUGUGUAGGAGGUCUUGUAAGUCGGGCGUGAAAUCUCACCGCUUAACGGUGAAACUGCGUUCGAUACUGCUUGGCUAGAGGAUCGGAGGGGGUAUCGGAAUUCAUGGUGUAGCAGUGAAAUGCGUAGAUAUCGUAAGGAAGACCAGUGGCGAAGGCGGGUCUCUGGACAGUUCCUGACACUGAGGCACGAAGGCCAGGGGAGCAAACGGG